GAAUUUCGACCUGAACUCRAGCGUGAGCACCCGCUGAACUUAAGCAUAUCAUUUAGCGGAGGA
rnacentral:rRNA from 1 species